UCCGUAGGUGGCAAGCGUUGUCCGGAAUUAUUGGGCGUAAAGCGCGCGCAGGCGGUCCUUUAAGUCUGAUGUGAAAGCCCACGGCUCAACCGUGGAGGAUCAUUGGAAACUGGGGGACUUGAGUGCAGGAGAGAAGAGUGGAAUUCCACGUGUAGCGGUGAAAUGCGUAGAGAUUUGGAGGAACACCAGUGGCGAAGGCGACUUUCUGGUCUGUAACUGACACUGAGGCGCGAAAGCGUGGGGAGCAAACAGG
rnacentral:rRNA from 1 species